GAAAUGGAAAGAAAUAAGCACAUAUUAAGCCUUUUUGUGGCGAGAAAUAUUCUAUAUGGAAAUUUAGAAUCAGAGCUUUGUUUGCUGAAUUAGAGGUUCUCUAAGUAGUCGAUAACAUAAUGCCUAACGAAGUAGAUGAUAAUUGGAAAAAGGCAGAGCGAUGUGCGAAGAGCAUUUUAAUUCAAUAUUUAGGCGACGCAUUUCUAAACUUCGCGGCAGGCGACAUUUCGGCACGUGAUAUCCUGAAGAAUUUAGACGCCAUAUAUGAGCGUAGAAGCCUUGCGUCGCAAUUAGCACGUAAAUGUUUAAUAACACUCAAACUCUCAAGUGAAGCCAAUUAAAAUCGCUGCGGCAAAAGAAGGCGAGUUUUUAUAUGCCACUAAGCGUGGAAUUGUGCGGCUGCACAAUGGACACAAUAUCACACUGGAGGAUGUGCUCUACUGCAAGGAGGCAGCAGGAAACCUCAUGUCUGUCAAGCAUUUGCAACAGGCAGGGAUGUCAAUUAAGUUUGACUGUGGUGGUGUCUCCAUAUCAAAAAAUGGAGUAAUUGUUGUUAAAUAUACAGACAACCAACUUGCUGACAUCUUCACGAAGCCACUACCUGCUGGAAGAUUUGCGGAACUGCGGAACAAAUUAGGACUACUACAAGAAGAAUGAUUCAAAUUUAAGGAAAACAUGAACAUGAUGCUUUAUUAACGAAUUUAUUACAUUAAUUCAUAUUUAAUUUUUUUUUUUUUUUGAUUUGAACCAAAAGAACCAAUGAAUUGUUAAAAAAAUUUAAUUUUAUGUUAAUCUAAUUUUAAAGUGAUCUGAUCGGGUUUUUCUGGGUUUUCCCCGUAUCCUUAGAGCAAAUGCUAGAUCACAUAACACUUCCCAGAAUGCACACCAACCACAUUAGAACAACAAUUGAAUGUUACCUUUUUGAUUUAAUGAUAAAAACAUUUUUUUUAUUUUUAUGAUUUUGAUGAUUAAUGUUAUUUUUGAGGGGGGCGUGUUGGAAUACGCCUAUUCCCACAUUCAAAUAAUAACAUUAAAUACUAUUAAAUAAUACUAUCGAUA